AAAGCUCAAAUUUAAAAUCUGGUAGUCUUUGGCCGCCCGAGUUGUAAUCUAGAGAAGUGUUACCCGUGCUGGACCGUGUACAAGUCUCCUGGCAUGGAGCGUCAUAGAGGGUGAGAAUCCCGUCUUUGACACGGACUCCCAGUGCAUUUGUGGUGCGCUCUCAACGAGUCGAGUUGUUCGGGAAUACAGCUCAAAAUGGGUGGUGAAUUCCAUCUAAAGCUAAAUAUUGGCGAGAGACCGAUAGCGAA
rnacentral:rRNA from 1 species